ACGCUAGUAUUCAUGUUUUUUUUGUAUAUAUAUAUAUAUAUGUAUUUUCUCUUUCUUCAGUGCUCCAGCUCCCACUGCUCCCACUGCUCCCACUGCUCCCACUGCUCCAGCUGCUCCCACUGCUCCCACUGCUCCAGCUGCACAGAAAGCCCCGUCUGCAGCACCAGAACCCAAACAGGAAGCUGCCCCUAAACCGAGCGUCACUGAAGCAGCUCCAGCCGCUCCUGCUGCACCCAAAGCUCCGUCCACAGCACCAGAACCCAAACCCAAAACCGAGCCCACUCCCACUCCUAAACCCAGUGUGGUUGAGCCGGUUCCAGUUGUUCCAGCUGCUCCAGUAGCACAGAAAACCCCAGCACCAGCACCAGCACCAGAAACUAAACCCAAAACAGAGCCCACUCCCACUCCUAAACCAAGUGUCACUGAGCCGCUUCCAGCUGCACAGAAAACAACACCAGCACCAGAACCCAAACCCACAACACAACCCACUCCAAAAGCAAGGUUAGAUUUAUUUAUUUAAUGAUUCAGAAUGAUUCUACAUUCAUAUUGCGUCUGAUCUCUGAUUAAUCAGCC
rnacentral:lncRNA from 1 species